rnacentral:lncRNA from 1 species
CCCGAAGGCCACAGAUGUCACUUUUCCCUUCACUGGAAAAAAUAAAUGAACAGUUUCAAGGUUCUAGGGCAAAAAGUAAUCAGUAACAGCCUGUGCUCCUCAGAAAACAAAGAAGAUGAAUUAGACACCUGACCCGAAGGCACAGAUGUCAAUGAUUUCCACUGCAGCCCCUUGGCCAAAGCCUUCCACUCCAGGCUGAAGAUGUUAGGAAGCCAGAGGAAGAGCAACACGCCAUGGUGGACUUGAAUGUGCUCUUCUGGGCUUUGCCAGCCAGGCACAGCCUCAGGAAAUCCACCCUGAGAUCCUCGUCUGUGGGAAACACUCAGCCUUAUUGAGAACAGCUGAGGUCAACAGCUGUGGUCAGGCUUCCCAUCAGACCUUUCAUUGCAGCUUCCUCUCUGCAGCAGGUGUGGCACAAAUACUGAGUCCCAGCAAGUGGUGGUGAAGGAAGGUCUUGGAAGUUAAAUGAAGCACCACGAGGCUCCAGGAAAAGAUCCUCCUGCACCCUUUCUUUGGAGAAACAGGCAAGCUUGAAACUGUCUUCCUGCAAAAACAAUGAAGAUAUGCAAAAUUUUGGCAAGUUGAAGUUUCCUGGGCCAAAAUACUCGAACAAACUUGAUUAUUCCCCUGUGAAAUGGACAGAUUGGAAAAGAACUUCUGAGGAAUAACUCAGUCGUAAGCCUGUUGAUACGGAGGCACUUCCCCAAGACUCACCUCAUCUGAAUUUGUCAUUUAAGGUAUGUAUUUUAACUACUUUAUUAUUAGGGAACAGCAUUUAUCUCAUUUACAGUGUAUUCAUUCCUUUUAAAACCCUGCUUCUCUGCUUCUCACCACUGCGAAAUUUAAGCAUAAAACCUAAUUUGAGAAGAUGAUUGAAUUUUGAAUUAAGGGGUUGUUUGUCCAUCAUCUCCAAACAGGAGCAGUCUGUGGGGCAGAGGAGCAUCCCGCAGUUUCAGACGUGAGCUGCAGAUGGCAGGAUUGAACUGCGGACUCGUUUCAACACCAGAACUCAUUUGCUCUCCCAGCCAGCAAAGCAGCUACUUUCAAGCAAGAGACCAAGAAAAGAAAAAAAAAGAGAAAAGCCAGAAGGACAAGAUGACAGGGGAGGAAGGGAUACAUCAGCUGAAAUUUGGAUAGGAUCAUUUUGAUAAGCAGCCUGCCCACGGCAAAGAAUUGGAUCACAAACUUCGUUUAGGGGGAAAAAAAAUCACCGCAGAAGAAAGGACCCAGGUAUGAAUGUUUCCUCUUAUGAAUUUGAAGUACUUCCUUAAAUUGCUUUUUUAACUGCAUUAGAAAACAAAGCCAGAAUCAAAGCAGAGUAAGCCGGGUGAUGCUGUAAGGUUUUCAGAGUUUCUCUAAAUGGAGAAUUUGGACAUUUUCAUAUUCUAAUCCGGGAACAGAAUGUGCAAUUAUCCUGGUAACAGAGCAAAGCGUGGAGAGAGGC